GGCUCAUUUUCUCGUGUUCUCGGAGACGAAGGUUCUUAGGUGGCCUCUUAGUGGACAGAGGGGUUAUGGAGAGCCCCCGCCCCAAGAUCAGACCUGCCAUGAAGAUGCAGGAAAACCCCUGGGCCCAGGCUGCGGAGAGCGGGCCGCCCUCUCCCUUAUCUCAGGAUUCCACCCCAGUCCCAUGGAGGAGAGUGAUCUGAGUGCCGCGCGGGAGCGGGGACCCGAGGCCCAGCGCUGCCGGCGGAGCCGCCCCCGGACACGCCCCUCCCCGGUGGGCCUCCCUGCGGCGUGGUCCCUGCCCAUGACCAUCAGUCACGCCGUAACGAAGAGCACGGGGGCAGCCCGUUUGUCCACACCGCCAUCUUCUAGGAACCAGGAAGCCAUCCUUCAGGAGUCCCCACCCCAGCGUGGCCUCCCCAGACUGCUUCCUUCCCAGCCUUUGGCGAGGCAUUAGCCCUCUGGAAAGGAUCUGCGGGCAGGACCUGGGACUUCUGUUCUCUGCACCGUCCGCGCCCCUUCUCUCCCUCAAGAUGUCCAGUACUCUCCCUGCAGGGAGGAGAGUUGAGCUUCAGGCGCAGGACAGCCCAGGCCUCACAGGUGACUUUGGGGCAACUCCAGUACCCAGCCCUCCUACCAACUAGUUACGUGACCUGCAGCAAGUUAUUUAACCUCUCUGUGUCUCGCUUUUCUCAGUGGUAAACGGAUGGUCUAACUCUGAGGUCACAGGGAUGAGUGAGAAUUAUGAGGAAUGACAUAUGAAGUAUAUGAGAUGCUUACCACACUGUUUGGUAAAUAACACCAGUUCCCUCCUCCCUGGUUGGUCCGUCCUUUGUAUUCUGUGAAGAGCUUUCCUAUGCAUGGUGCCUCACAGCCAAAAGGGGAGUCCUGAGUCCCUCCUUCCCUAGCUGGUUUGAGGCCAAUUCAGACUCCAUAAAACUGUCUGAAAGGCUUCCACCCUGCUGUUCAAGAGCCCUCCUCCUGAAGAGACUGCAUAUGGCAGGUGAAUGCACCCUGGAACAAUGUGGAAGGCCUGGAGAGCUCAUCACCUUCAACUAGUUCCCACUCAUUUAGUCUGCAGCCAUCCCCUCAUGGAGACUUGGAAGAGACAAGUGGGUUUGAUGGCGGGACUGUGCCCUGAAGCCUCCAAUAUUCAUGGAGAAACCAGCCCUCUCUUCCUUCACUGGACCUUGAAAUGCAGGGUAGACACAGCCAUGAUUUUCCAACAUGCCUCUCUUCCUACAUGGAGUCAGGGGUCUUCGCCUUCCCAUAGGGAAGAACUAAAGCCUCAAAGCUUAUAGGACAAACACUCGAAUCCUGAAGAUGACCUCAGCUCCUGGGUGGGCCCUGCUUACUCCUGGCUUCACGAGGUAGAGGGCCCACAAGGACACUCCAGGUGGAGCCAUACCCCUGGUCUCUGCUCCCUUCCCCUCUUCUAGAUGUGGAUGGUGGGUGGGCUGAACCCACAUAGCCGUGUCCUCCCAACUGCUCUUCUGAUUCUGCCUUCACCCCUUCCCUGCUGGUCCUUGCCUAGACUCCUGUCACUGCCCUUGUUUUUUGCUUAGCCCACAGUGCACAAUGGUCUCUGACCCCUGUCCCAGCAGGCCUGGCACUGGAGGGCUGAGAGAGCCUCGUACCCAGAGAAUUCCUGGCACAACUGCCCUUCUCAGCCGCAUCUCUCAACUCUCCAGGGUCUUAGACCCUUUUUCACCUCUCCCAGGCUGGACUCUCCUCCUCUUUGUGUGGAUAUUUUCUUUCCUACCUCUGGCUGCCUCCUCAGCCUCGCUUCUUGCCUUCUUUCCUGAUGUGGCAGCCAGCCAGCACUGUAAUGGCUGAGUCCUGGGGGUGUGGUGGGAAGGGAACUCCAGUUCUGGGGUCAGAAGAUCUAAGGUUUAAGACACACUUCUGCUCCAUAAGCUCUAUAAGAACUUAGAAAAAACAAAUAACUUUCAUUCUCAGCUUGGAAAAUCUGUAAAAUGGGGAAAGCAGUAAUGCAUAAAUUGCAGUUUUUAGGUAAGGAAUGGAAGGAAUGAUCAUCUAUGUGAAAGAAUUUAUUUGGAACAGCGAGAUGCUGUACAAUCUCCCUAAGUCUGCUGCUGACUUUGUAUAUCUCAAAUGUCUGCAGCUAAGGUUCUUCCCUACCAUUGUGUAGACAAGGCUGGAUGUAGGAAAGGAACCCAAGCUGGAAUGAGAUAUUCUUGCCUGAGCCCCCUCCAUCUUGUUUCCUACCCCAAACCAAGGAUGGAGGGAGCUCAGGCAAGAGUAUCUUGUUUUCUCGUUCCUGGUACAGACCCCCAUUUUCCAUAAACGUCAGGAGGAUAAAAAGCCUUUGUGCUCAAGAGAAAAGUCCCAGCCUCUUCUCCCCUAAGGUCAAGCCUGAAUUAACCUCAAGCUAUUUGUAGGAUUCCUCAGAGGGUGGAAUCUCAUCAGAACUCUUCAAAGUGUGAAGGUCAAGGAAGAACUGGGCCACUUUCCUUGAUCGCUGUUGUGGUCCUCCCCACCUCCUCCCAGACCUCUGGGGUGACCCACAGUCGUCUCCAUUUACCUUUCAUGUGAAAGCCAAGCUCUUCAUGUCAUGGGUCACCCUAUCCCCAGCAACAUGUCCUGUCACACCCCAGCUGUGGGGGUGAAGCCACUGUGAAAUGUCAGCUCUGCUCAGGAGCCUGUCCAGCCAUGCCCGCUGCAGUCAACCCCCUCUCACCGCCAGAUGGGGUGAAAUGUUUCUGUGAUAUUCUCUCUUCAUUCGAGCUUGGACUAACGUGGCAAUUCAGAAGUUAAGACCAAACUGGGAGCCAAUUUUAAUCUUCCCAAAUCAAGCAGGUGGAUGGUGUUUGGACUUGAGGGGACCUGGAUAUUAAGGAGAGGUAGAGAGGGCUGCUCAAUGGGCUGCCCAGGGCCGUCCCACCACCCCUUGGGAAGUUCUCACCUCCCAAUUCAAGUGGAGACCCUCUGGCUCACUGUUAGCCCUCUGAACAGAGCCAGCUUCUUGCUGGGUGAUUCACCUGGCACCUGGCAGAGUCUUCCUGUGAGUAUUUACAUCCUAGAAGGGAAAAAGUCUGUUAACCCAAAGAAAUAAAGGAAAACCUGUAAGA